rnacentral:snRNA from 1 species
AUCGCUUCUCGGCCUUUUGGCUAAGAUCAAGUGAAGUGUGACUAAUGCAGUUUGGAAAGUAUAUUUUUUAUUUUAUUUUAUUUUAAUUAAUUUAAAUUUAUAUUUAAGUAGCCACAUGUGGCUAGUGACU